rnacentral:rRNA from 1 species
GACGAACGCUGGCGGCGUGCUUAACACAUGCAAGUCGAGCGGAAAGGCCCUUUCGGGGGUACUCGAGCGGCGAACGGGUGAGUAACACGUGAGUAAUCUGCCCCUGGCUUUGGGAUAGCCACCGGAAACGGUGAUUAAUACCGGAUACGACCACUUCUCGCAUGGGAUGGUGGUGGAAAGUUUUUCGGCCAGGGAUGUGCUCGCGGCCUAUCAGCUUGAUGGUGAGGUAAUGGCUCACCAUGGCUUCGACGGGUAGCCGGCCUGAGAGGGUGACCGGUCACACUGGGACUGAGACACGGCCCAGACUCCUACGGGAGGCAGCAGUGGGGAAUAUUGGACAAUGGGCGGAAGCCUGAUCCAGCAACGCCGCGUGAGGGAUGACGGCCUUCGGGUUGUAAACCUCUUUCAGCAGGGACGAAGCGCAAGUGACGGUACCUGCAGUAGAAGCACCGGCCAACUACGUGCCAGCAGCCGCUGUAA